GACGUAGGGCGCGAGCGUUGUCCGGAUUUAUUGGGCGUAAAGAGCUCGUAGGCGGCUUGUCGCGUCGGCUGUGAAAUCCCGUGGCUCAACUGCGGGUCUGCAGCCGAUACGGGCAGGCUAGAGUUCGGUAGGGGAGACUGGAAUUCCUGGUGUAGCGGUGAAAUGCGCAGAUAUCAUUUGGAACGCCAAUGGUGAAAACAGGUAGCUGGGGGCUGUGCUGACACUGAGACACGAAAGCCAGGGGAGCAAACGGG
rnacentral:rRNA from 1 species